CUUUGCUGACCUUUCUUCCUAUUCAUCACUAUAUUCACCAUUGUAUCACAGCUCGCACUGACGACAUCACGUAUUCAACUUCUCACUCUAUGCACGAAAACACCGCACUUGGGCCCAUACUCUUAAACGCAUCGGACUCCUGUUAUAACUAUUUUCCAAGGCUACAGAGAAGAUUAACCGGAAUACGUCAGCUUUCUCGUUCAAGGCGCAUAAGUCGGGCAAAACUAUCACUAGGAUCACAAAACAGUCCAUGAAAACCCCCAGCAACUUCUACGAGAGGCUUUUCAAACAGGCGUAUUGAGGUGAGGAUAAGUUUGAAAAUCCGGACCUUGGCUCCCUCCCGUGACACCAGAGACACACAUUGCACACGGACACCUCGGCACAUACCUCACAUCAGGGUUACUGCUCAUACUGACGCGCUCCACGGCCCCCUGGAGGCAACCCUGCGCCGGCACUGAACAAACACCACGACAGACGAGCAAGUGAAGGUAGGAAAA